CAAAGUAACCUUCCUUGUUUUUUCCUUUUGCCCGUGUUGUCGCCAUGUUUUCGUAGAUUUGAAACAAAACGAGGGUAAAUAUAUCUUUUUUUCUUCGUUCUUCGUUCCCAAAGUUCUCUCCCCAAAAUCGACUACCACAGAGAUAUAGAGUCACAGACGUAAUCCACAUCAACCUAACCCAAAUUCAAUUUGAAUUUCGGUUAAUCACUCUCACAUUUUUUCUUCUUUGCUUCAUCUCAAUUGUCUUGAUUUUGAAUCUCAAUCAGAUAAACAACUAAAAAUAGGGUAUUUUUUGGUCGGUUUGAUUUUCUUAAAGUUAAUUGGGUUUUUUUCAUGGAACAUGGUUGAUUUUUUUCAACUGGGUUCUCGACAUGCAAAAUUGGAACGACUGGAUUUUUCUCAAUUCUUCAAUGUCUUAUGCUAUUACCAUGAAGCUCACUUUCUCGAACAGUGCAAAACGAGUAUCAUAGACGAAUUUGGCGACAAUUUGGUCUUUAGCAUUCCAAGCUCACUUUGGUCUUCAACUCUCUGCUUCAAUGAUAAGUAAGCUAUUAACCUCGGAUUGUUGGUAAGUGUUUUACUCUUCAACUUGGUUGUUGUUUUCUAGCGCAUGACCUGACUGCCUUCUCAAUGCGUGACGAAGAUUAAGUGGUUUACUAAAGAGUGGCACCAAAUUGCAGUAGAUUUUCGGACAUAUUCUGUUUCAAGUAAGAUAAUUCCAACAUUAUUUUCUGUGAAAUUCUCAAAGUUAUGAAUCAUUCUUCUAUUGACACACAACAAUUUUCACUCUCUCGAUAAUUACAAAACAAAAUGCUCUUUCUGUGGAAAUAUUUUAUGCCUUGCCAGUUUAUGGUUGGGUCCAUUAACUAUCUGCGGGUAGGAUUUGCAUUUGAAAAAACGCCAAUAUAUAGGCCGCAGGUCCAGCUAUUUGAAUCUAAUAGAAACAUGCUUCCUUCCGAAUUAUAUUAGAUUUCUUAUUGCAACCAUCUUAGAAAUUUUUCAUAUCACACUAACUAGGUUUUUCCUUCUUUGUUUUCUCUCAAAAACGUUGGUGUCUAAUUAUUCAAGAAAUUCCAAUGCUUCAGAUAUUCCCACCAUAAUGCUUCAGUUGCAAGUUCAAUGAGUAGUAGCAGCUAGAUUAUAUUUUAAAGCUUAAGUUUUGUACAAGAUUGCAGAUUGAUCUUAUUGCUUCAUGGUUCGUGUUGGAGACUUAUUGUCAGUGCUGAAAUCAAACAAGUAUAUUGUAUGGUAGCUAAAUUAGCUUCGAUUUGCUUGGUUGUUCUUAUAUCUUUAAUGUAAAAAAAAUUAUUCACUGAAUCUAUGUGUUGUGAUUUGUCAUUUA